CUAUUGGUGGACAGUAAAGAAAGGGAUAUGCAAUAUGAGCCUCUGUGUCUUGUCAUAAAAUUAUUAAUAACUACGGCAAUGUUGCACUCCGCGACUGGCAGGGAUCACGGCCACGGAUCCUUGCUGGUGAGGGAAGCAAAUGAGUGGAGUAGGUUAAAAUGGCUACAGUGGUAGUGUCUCCUGCCCCAAUGUCCCAUGCUUUUACCCUAUACCCUUGCUGACUAGGAGGGCGGCAAACUGUGAUUGUCCCAGUAGUCCAUGUUUGGCCACUCCUCCGGCCCCAGGCCUCCUUAAGGGCUCCUGUGCAGUUCCCAUUGCUCCAGUUGCUGACUGCUCCCUAAGCGAAAUCUCGGGCGGUUGUAAGGUGGUAGCGAG